rnacentral:rRNA from 1 species
CCCUUAGAUGUUCUGGGCCGCACGCGUGCUACACUGAGUGGAUCAGCGGGUCAGGUUGCGCGAAAGCGUUUCCUAAUCUUGAAAUCCGCUCGUGAUGGGGAUUGACGGUUGCAAUUUUCUGUCAUGAACGAGGAAUACCUUGUAAGCGCGGGUCAUCAUCCCGCGCUGAAUACGUCCCUGCCCUUUGUACACACCGCCCGUCGCUCCUACCGAUUGAGUGGUCCGGUGAGGCUUUGGGAUCUGAGCGGAAAGAGCGUUUCGCUCGUUCUGCCCGGAAAACUCAGUCGAACCUUAUCAUUUAGAGGAAGGAGAAGUCGUAACA